UGAGAGUGGAAAGUUCACACUGUGACGGUAGCUUACCAGAAAGGGACGGCUAACUACGUGCCAGCAGUCGCGGUAAUACGUAGGUCCCGAGCGUUGUCCGGAUUUAUUGGGCGUAAAGCGAGCGCAGGCGGUUUGAUAAGUCUGAAGUUAAAGGCUGUGGCUCAACCAUAGUUCGCUUUGGAAACUGUCAAACUUGAGUGCAGAAGGGGAGAGUGGAAUUCCAUGUGUAGCGGUGAAAUGCGUAGAUAUAUGGAGGAACACCGGGUCGACGCGGCCG
rnacentral:rRNA from 1 species